UACGAAGGGGGCUAGCGUUGCUCGGAAUCACUGGGCGUAAAGGGCUCGUAGGCGGCCAACUCAGUCAGACGUGAAAUCCCUCGGCUUAACCGGGGAACGGCAUCUGAUACUGGAUGGCUGGAGUUCGGGAGAGGGAUGCGGAAUUCCAGGUGUAGCGGUGAAAUGCGUAGAUAUCUGGAGGAACACCGGUGGCGAAGGCGGCAUCCUGGACCGACACUGACGCUGAGGAGCGAAAGCCAGGGGAGCAAACGGG
rnacentral:rRNA from 1 species